GAACGGGAAAGAGCCCAAACCAAUAUUGUUACGGCAAUGUUGGGGUUGUAGGACUACGAUAUGGCAUUAAUGAAAUGAAGUGGAACAGGAUGGGAAGCCUGGCAAUAUAGCGUGAGAGCCGCGUACACGUAAGUAACAUUAGUCUAGUAGUAUCCUGAGUACCGCGAGGUCGGAGACGCCUUGUGGGAAUCUGCCGGCACCAUCCGGUAAGGCUAAAUACUCCUGAGAGACCGAUAGUGAACCAGUACCGUGGGGGAAAGGUGAAAAGAACCCCGA
rnacentral:rRNA from 1 species